GAAAAGCAGAAGAUAUUGAUUUGCGCGGUACUCUUCCGCGAAAGAACUCCCGAUUUUAUUGGUGUGCAGGCUUGAAACGCUGCGCCGUAUUCUUGGCUUACUUGGCUUGGCUUUUGUAGUCGUCGUGGCCUAAAGGAUAAGACGUCCGGUGCAUUCGUAUUUAGCUAUGCAACGGUGAGCGAAUCCCGCAGGUGCUUACCAAAAUCUAUUCUGUAAUGUUUCAAGACUUCGUUCAAGGGCUUAGGUACGGAUCUACAAGUUAUUGUGAUUACGUUUUUGUCUAAAUCUGUAUAUUAACAGUGAUAAAUUACGACCAGCCAGUAAGGCGACAGAAUAUUGUUUUUGUUUAUAAAGUUCCAAAAACCAAACA